rnacentral:rRNA from 1 species
AUUGAACGCUGGCGGCAUGCUUUACACAUGCAAGUCGAGCGGCAGCGCGGGGGCAACCCUGGCGGCGAGCGGCGAACGGGUGAGUAAUGCAUCGGAACGUAUCCUCGAGUGGGGGAUAACCCAGCGAAAGUUGGGCUAAUACCGCAUGAGCUCUGAGGAGGAAAGCGGGGGACCUGCGAGGGCCUCGCGCUGGAGGAGCGGCAGAUGUCCGCUUAGCUAGUGGGUGGGGUAAAGGCUUACCAAGGCGGCGACCGGUAGCUGGUCUGAGUGGGUGAUCAGCCACACGGGGAGUGAGACACGGCCCAGACUCCGACGGGAGGAAGCAGUGGGGAAUUUUGGGCAAAGGGGGCAUCCCUGAUCCAGCCAUGCCGGGUGAGUGAUGAAGGCCCUCGGGUUGGAAAGCUCUGACGGACGGAGCGAAGUAAGGGGGACUAAUACGCGUGGAUGAUGACGGUACCGGAAGAAGAAGCACCGGCUAACUACGUG